rnacentral:misc_RNA from 1 species
UCACUGCUUGCGCAGGCAGUCUCUUUAGAGUCCCCACCAUAAUGUGCUGGCAACUAAAGAUAGGGGUUGCGCUCGUUGCGGGACUUAACCCAACACCUCACGGCACGAGCUGACGACGGCCAUGCAGCACCUUGCUUUGUGUCCCGAAGGAAAGGUCCAUCUCUGGACCGGUCACGCGCAUUCUAGCCCAGGUAAGGUUCUUCGCGUUGCGUCCAAUUAAUCCACAUAAUCCACCGCUUGUGCGGCUCCCCGUCAAUUCCUUUAUGUUUUAGUCUUGCGACCGUACUCCACAGGCGGGAUACUUAACGCGUUAGCUUCGCUACUGAAGGGGUCGAUACCUCCAACAGCUAGUAUCCAUCGUUUACGGCGUGGACUAC